rnacentral:rRNA from 1 species
GAGUUUGAUCGGCUCAGAAUCAACGCUGGCGGCGUGCCUAACACAUGCAAGUCGAACGCGAAAACCCGAAGGGGUGAGUAGAGUGGCAAACGGGUGAGUAACGCGUGGGUGACCUGCCUUCGAGCGGGGGAUAACGUUCCGAAAGGGACGCUAAUACCGCAUAACAUCCUGCCUUUGAACAGGUGGAGAUCAAAGCUGGGGAUCGCAAGACCCGGCACUUGAAGAGGGGCCCGCGUCUGAUUAGCUAGUUGGUGAGGUAACGGCUCACCAAGGCAACGAUCAGUAUCCGGCCUGAGAGGGCGGACGGACACACUGGGACUGAGACACGGCCCAGACUCCUACGGGAGGCAGCAGUGGGGAAUUGUUCGCAAUGGGCGCAAGCCUGACGACGCAACGCCGCGUGGAGGAUGAAGAUUUUCGGAUCGUAAACUCCUGUCGAAUGGGACGAAAAGUUCGCGGAGUAAUAUCCCGCGUUCCUGACGGUACCGUUAAAGGAAACCCCGGCUAAACUCCGUGCCAGCAGCCGCCGUAAC